UUUGAAAUCUCCGAUGCUUGCAUCGGCGAGUUGUAGUUGCGAGAAGCACUUUCUAGGCGGAUCGACGGUGCCUAAGUUGCUUGGAACGGCACGUCGCAGAGGGUGACAACCCCGUCUGUGGCGCCGCCGGCCGCCGACGAUGUGCUUUCGAAGAGUCGGGUUGUUUGGGAAUGCAGCCCAAAACGGGUGGUAAACUCCAUCUAAAGCUAAAUACUGGCGUGAGACCGAUAGCGAACAAGUACCGUGAGGGAAAGAUGAAAAGAACUUUGAAAAGAGAGUUAAAAAGUACGUGAAACCGUCGAAAGGGAAACGAAUGGACUCAGCAAUGCGCCCUCUGAGAUUCAGCCGGUGGGUGGCGGCGGCGCCGGGUUUGCGGAUCUGAAUGGACCGCGGCCUGGCGCCCGCCUCUCCCCGCCGUCGCACUUCUCUGGGGCGCACGUCAACGUGGGUUGGGACUGGGUCUGAAAGGCGCCGGGAAGGUAGGUGUGGGCCUUCGGGUCCGUUCUGUUACAGCCCGGUUCUCUCAUGGCUCGGGCCCGACCGAGGAGCGACACGGGGCAUGCCUCCUGUGGCUAGGGUCCCGCCCUUCCGGCCGGCUGUCCAGUGCGGUGGACUGCUUGCAGUGCUCCGCGACGGCUGCCGGUCGUUGGGGUGGUGAUCUCGUACCAUG
rnacentral:rRNA from 2 species